rnacentral:rRNA from 1 species
AAGGGGCUUCGGCCCUGAGUAGAGUGGCGAACGGGUGAGUAACACGUGGGUGACCUACCCUCGAGUGGGGGAUAACAUCCCGAAAGGGGUGCUAAUACCGCAUGACAUCCUGUCUUUGAACAGAUAGACAUUAAAGCUGGGGAUCGCAAGACCUGGCGCUCGAGGAGGGGCUCGCGCCCGAUUAGCUAGUUGAUGAGGUAAUGGCUCACCAAGGCUACGAUCGGUAUCCGGCCUGAGAGGGCGGACGGACACACUGGGACUGAGACACGGCCCAGACUCCUACGGGAGGCAGCAGUGGGGAAUUGUUCGCAAUGGGCGAAAGCCUGACGACGCAACGCCGCGUGGAGGAUGAAGAUCUUCGGG